UACGGAGGGUGCGAGCGUUGUCCGGAAUCACUGGGCGUAAAGGGCGCGUAGGCGGCUCAUGAAGGCUGUGGUGAAAGUCCGGGGCUCAACCUCGGAUCGGCCGUGGCGACUCGUGGGCUGGAGCACUGUAGAGGCGGGUGGAAUUCCGGGUGUAGCGGUGGAAUGCGUAGAGAUCCGGAAGAACACCGGUGGCGAAGGCGGCUCACUGGCUCAUUACUGACGCUCAGGCGCGAUAGCGUGGGGAUCAAACAGG
rnacentral:rRNA from 1 species